UCCCCGGUCGUCUAAUGGUAGGACAACAGGUUCUGGCCCUGUCAAUCAAGGUUCGAAUCCUUGCCGGGGAUCCA
rnacentral:tRNA from 1 species